UCCAUUAUAAAUGAGUCACUAAGUUCCGACACUCAAGAAGGAGUAUUAAGACACAUCAAGAAUUCACAAGAAUGUUUUAAAAACAAUGCAUUUUUUACUCUGGUUACAACUUACUUAUAUUUCUGUAGCAUACAAGAUAUAUUUACUGUCCUCCCAAGAACACGUUUAAUGACUGAAAUCCAGGACGUUGUCAUAUAAAUGAAAUCAAGGAAUGAACAUAACUUCUCAGACAUAUUCCUCAAGUACAGCUCCUUAAGUAUUUUAAAGGAGGAUCCCAGUCCUGUCCAGAGGGGAAACUUUUUCUACUGAGUCUUCACCUACCUGACAUCAUAUUAGAUUCAGAUCUUCUGAUGUAGCUGUACAAGGUAUGGAACACUGAGAUUCUGCAGAUGUAUUCUCAUUCAGCCCCAGUCCUGUAUUUCUGAACACCAACCUCCUUCAUUUUACAUACUGUCGAAGAGCAGCACAAACAUCUUUAACCUACUGGCCAACUAAAUUUCCUUUCUGACUACACUUGCUAAGGAGUAGGUCACCAAAGAUUUUUGAAUUCAGUAAAGAAUGUUUUUUCCAUCUUGAAUCGGUAAUCAAUGCUACCUUCCAUCUACCCAAAAACCAUGAACCACAGUAAUCAAGAAAUAUGCCUACCAUUGAAGAAUUACGAUAACGCAAAAGACCAUCUUUAGCAUCGUAUGCAGCCCUGUCUACAUACAUGUCUCCAGCUGUGCUCCAGCCUGACUCCAUCAUUCCCAAUCUCCCUUUCCCAUUUGCUGCUACUGAAUGUCACAUCAGCCUCAAUUUUGUGGAAGAAGGCCAUUAUGUCCCAGAUGAGGACUGCACCUUCUGCUUGGGUCCCCAAACGAAGAGGAUGUAGAACACAGCUACAGUGAAUGAACAAAGCUACAGUGAAUGAACAAGGAAAAUCAAUGUGAACGAGAAAUAAACCUUU